UACGAAGGGGACUAGCGUUGUUCGGAAUCACUGGGCGUAAAGCGCACGUAGGCGGCGCCGCAAGUGUCGGGUGAAAUCCCACGGCUUACCCGUGGAACUGCCUGGCAGACUGCGGUGCUAGAGGAUGGUAGGGGAAAGCGGAACUCCUGGUGGAGCGGUGAAAUGCGUAGAUAUCAGGAGGAACACCGGUGGCGAAGGCGGCUCUCUGGUCCAUGACUGACGCUGAGGUGCGAAAGCUAGGGGAGCAAACAGG
rnacentral:rRNA from 1 species